AGUAUAUGGAUAAAUUUAACAUAGUAAUGUUACUUGCAGAAAAUAUACAGAAAAUUUUUUUUUAGAAAUUUUCAUUUCUUCUGUUAGGAAAGUCCCCGAGAUAAACAAUUAGUAUUCUGAAAGUUUUUUUAGGAAAGCUAAUAACUUAAUAAGUUAUUAAUCUUUUAAAUUCUUUGUAAAUUUUUAAUUAUAUACAAAGUUAUAUUUAAAAUGCGAGUUAAAUGUAACAUGUGUCUU